rnacentral:rRNA from 1 species
UACGUAGGUCCCGAGCGUUGUCCGGAUUUAUUGGGCGUAAAGCGAGCGCAGGUGGUUUAUUAAGUCUGGUGUAAAAGGCAGUGGCUCAACCAUUGUAUGCAUUGGAAACUGGUAGACUUGAGUGCAAGAGAGGAGAGUGGAAUUCCAUGUGUAGCGGUGAAAUGCGUAGAUAUAUGGAGGAACACCGGUGGCGAAAGCGGCUCUCUGGCCUGUAACUGACACUGAGGCUCGAAAGCGUGGGGAGCAAACAGG